AACAAUACAGUGCGCAGGAGUAUUAGGUCAGACUUUUUUCUAGAGAGUGUAUGGGUGGUGGAAAUACACAAAAAGUUAGCUGAACUCGCCUGCAAGUUGCUUUCGGGAAUUAAAGUACCGUUAGCCGUUCUCCACGUUAAAGAGAAGAGGCUGUCGCCUUUUUUUAUGAAGGUCGGCAGUGAACUUAGGUGGUACCGCGAUGAAUAACGCCCUAUGG
rnacentral:ncRNA from 1 species